UCAAGUUCUUUUUAUUGGUUGAUUUGUUAUUCUGCAACAAUAAUGGGUAUAUACUGUUAACUUUAUACAUGAUAUAGACACAUUUACUUGAUCUUUUUAUCAUUCAAGAGAGAGCGGAUGCUGAAAAGGUACCUAUAUCUGACAAGGGCCAGUUCUCCCAAACUGUUGCUCGUCGAUCGGUUUUGAAUAGUGUUUCUAACCAGGGAAAUCAUCCUCAGUCAAAUGUUUUAACUGUUUAUCUACAAGGAGUUGGGGCUUUUCUUCAAUAUUUGGGAGCCAGGCAUCAUCUAGAGGGACCGCAGCUACUGAAUCUCCUGAAGAAACUCUUCAUGAUGCAGAGAAUAUGUCAUCAACAAUCCAACUGAGAGAGGUAUCUAUACAUUUUAAAGCCUUGCACUUGUGUGUGAGAAAGUGUUGAUGACUUUGUUUUUCUUUAUAGCAGCAUAUCUUGCCUGUCCUAAAUUCACUUCCUUCAUGUUUUCCCUUGGUGAUCUCAGCCUACGUCAAUCUUAAGACCACUUGAAAUGUCAGAGAAUGAAGCUACAGAAAUAAUUAUCACCAGAAUACUUGUGAAAUUGUUAGUGUUUUGGGACACUUUAUCCGGAUGAAGUAUGAAGCUUAAUCUGGAACUUAUACAACAACGUAAUAAAUUCAGAUGAAGAAUGAAGAAAAACUUGAAGUACUUCAAAGUCUGGUGACUUUGAACUUGAAAAACAGAAUAGAA